GACGAACGCGGGCGGCGUGCCUAAUACAUGCAAGUAGAACGCUGAAGAGAGGAGCUUGCUCUUCUUGGAUGAGUUGCGAACGGGUGAGUAACGCGUAGGUAACCUGCCUGGUAGCGGGGGAUAACUAUUGGAAACGAUAGCUAAUACCGCAUGACAUUGAUUAUCGCAUGAUAAUUAAUUGAAAGAUGCAAUUGCAUCACUACCAGAUGGACCUGCGUUGUAUUAGCUAGUUGGUGAGGUAACGGCUCACCAAGGCGACGAUACAUAGCCGACCUGAGAGGGUGAUCGGCCACACUGGGACUGAGACACGGCCCAGACUCCUACGGGAGGCAGCAGUAGGGAAUCUUCGGCAAUGGGGGGAACCCUGACCGAGCAACGCCGCGUGAGUGAAGAAGGUUUUCGGAUCGUAAAGCUCUGUUGUAAGAGAAGAACGGGUGUGAGAGUGAA
rnacentral:rRNA from 1 species